rnacentral:piRNA from 1 species
UGUAGGGAAGCCAAAGUGUGAGUCUUA